rnacentral:rRNA from 1 species
CUAAGAAUAUUCCGCAAUGGACGAAAGUCUGAGGGAGCGACGCCGCGUGAGGGAUGAAGGCCCUUUGGGUUGUAAACCUCUGUUAGGGGGAAAGAACAGCAGUGGAAGCAACAUGUCCAUUGCCUGACGUUACCCCCAGGGAAAGCUCCGGCCAACUCCGUGCCAGCAGCCGCGGUAAUACGGGGGGAGCAAGCGUUGUCCGGAAUUACUGGGCGUAAAGGGCAUGUAGGCGGCUUGGUAAGCCUGGCGUGAAAGACUGCAGCUUAACUGUAGGGAUGCGUUGGGAACUGCUUAGCUUGAGUUACGGAGAGGGAGCUGGAAUUCCUGGUGUAGGGGUGAAAUCUGUAGAUAUCAGGAAGAACACCGAUGGCGAAGGCAAGCUUCUGGUCGAUAACUGACGCUGAGGUGCGAAAGUGUGGGGAUCAAACA